rnacentral:rRNA from 1 species
UACGUAGGGGGCUAGCGUUGUCCGGAAUCAUUGGGCGUAAAGAGCGUGUAGGCGGCCCGGUAAGUCCGCUGUGAAAGUCAAGGGCUCAACCCUUGAAAGCCGGUUGAUACUGUCGGGCUAGAGUCCGGAAGAGGCGAGUGGAAUUCCCGGUGUAGCGGUGAAAUGCGCAGAUAUCAGGAGGAACACCAAUUGCGAAGGCAGCUCGCUGGGACGUUACUGACGCUGAGACGCGAAAGCGUGGGGAGCAAACAGG